CAAUUGAUCAACCAGAAAAUGCGAUAAAUAUCAGUGUUAAAACAAAAAGUUUUGAAAAACCACAAGAUUUGAAAAAUAAUAAAAUUACUAUUAAAAUUCCUAACAGGAUGAAGGCUUCUACAGAAUUCUAUGGAAACUCAAACCCUGAUCUGUUGACCUCUGAAACUAAAAACAUAACAGUCACUCAUGUGCUGGCUGUAUACAACCAUGGGCCAAGUCCUUUGUUUGGAGUUACAUUAAACGUUACAUUGCCAAGCCUCCUCAAAGAGAGACCUGAUUUAAUACAAAGAAUAUGCAAGAAUCCGUCUUGUCCCACUUCAUUCGACUGGCAAACCAUAAGCAAAGGAUCUAAUAGACAAGUUAAAAUUGUUUUUAAUGUCAAUGAAAAAAUUCAUUCGGUUAAAAAGGACUUAAAAUAUCUGGAGACGAAAGCUAUCUUGGCUAGAAAAGAUCAUCGACUAUACAUUGCUGAUAAGAAUCAAUGGCCAUGGAAGAUAUCGGUGCAAACUGCCUUCCAAAUAGAACAGGAACCUAUUGCCUGGUGGAUUAUUCUUCUUUGUAUACUUGGUGGCAUUUUUAUUCUUGCUCUCUUUAUUGUUUUGUGUUGGUGGCUUGGAUUCUUCAAGCGCAAUAAAGUCAAUCGUGAUGAAGACCAGAAGUCUUUUGCUGCCAGUGAAAAGUUAUCAAAUGAACCAGAAGAAAAUAAUGUUGUGCCAGAAAAAAACACAAACUCGGAUGACAAAUUUUUAUAGCCUUAUACUCAUUAUUUAAAUUAAUGUGUAUAUUGUGUGUACGUGUGUGUGUACGCUGCGUUUUAAGUACAUGGUUGGCAGUGUGUGUAUAUGUUUGUAUUGGUGUGUGUGUGUUUGAAUGAGAAUUGGAGCGAUGAGGAUGGUGGUGUGUGUGGUGGGGUCUAUUAUCUUUUCUGAGAUAAUUUGGAACAAUCUCAACUCUGUAAAAUUAUAUUCCAUUUCAAAAAGAAUCAUAACUGUUACCAAAUAAGAAUGUAAGGAUGUGUAUUACAAAGAAAAAAAGUAAAAAUGCAGUUAGAAUUUAAAGAGAAAGAGGAGAGAAACAGAGAUAGAGAGAGAGAUCAGAAAUGAAG
rnacentral:misc_RNA from 1 species